CCCCGCCCGCACGUCCCCGGCGGGGCGGAGCCGGCGCCGCUGCUGUGAUGGCGUCGCAGGCGCUGCAGGCGGAGGCGCAGCCGCUGCGGUGCCAAUAGAGAGCGGAGCGGCCGGGCCGGGCAUGGAGAGCCUGGCGCAGCCCCCGCCGCCCCCGGGCUCGCUGCAGACGGGCGGCGGGGGCGCUGCCAGCCGGCUCCGCCUGGGAGAAGCGGCGGCGGGCGAGGGUGGCUGCAGUGAGGCCGAGGAGGGCGGCGGACGGCGCAGCCCUUCCCCUCCGCCGGCCCCCGCUCCCGCCGCGGCCCCUCGGACCGCGUCCCCCUCCCGGGCCGCGGAGGGUGGUGCGGCGGCGGAGAGCGCGGGGCUGGCGGUGCCGGAGAGUCCCGGAGCGGCGCCCGCCUCGGAGAGCGGUCCCGCGGGAGCCGGCUCCGGGAGCAGCGGCGCUCCCAGCCCGCCGGGGGAGGAGUCCCGCAGCCUGGACUCGCUGGAGUCCUUCUCCAACCUGCACUCCUGCUGCCCGAGCAGCUCCGAGCUCAACAGCGACGCCGACGAGGCGGUGGUGGCGGGGGCCUCCUCGGGGGGCCCGGCCCCGGAGCCCGAAGGGGACAGGCCGGCGGCAGGCUCCCAGCUCCUCUCCGCUUCCAAGGAGCGCUUCCCGGGGCAGUCGGUCUAUCACAUCAAGUGGGUCCGCUGGAAGGAGGAGAACACGCCGGUCAUCACCCAGAACGAGAACGGCCCCUGUCCGUUGCUGGCCAUCAUGAACGUGCUGCUCCUGGCCUGGAAGAUUAAACUGCCACCAAUGAUGGAGAUCAUAACAGCUGAACAGCUGAUGGAAUACUUAGGUGACUACAUUCUUGACGCAAAGCCUAAAGAGAUAUCUGAAAUUCAGCGACUUAAUUAUGAGCAGAAUAUGAGUGAUGCAAUGGCAAUUCUGCAUAAGUUGCAGACGGGUCUGGAUGUCAAUGUGAAGUUCACAGGUGUCCGAGUAUUUGAAUACACUCCUGAGUGCAUAGUGUUCGAUCUUCUUGAUAUCCCCUUGUACCAUGGAUGGUUAGUGGACCCUCAGGUUGCUGACAUAGUAAAAGCAGUUGGUAACUGCAGUUACAAUCAGCUGGUGGAGAAGAUAAUUUCUUGUAAACAGUCAGAAAACAGUGAACUAGUUAGUGAAGGGUUUGUAGCUGAGCAGUUCCUAAAUAACACAGCUACACAAUUGACAUACCAUGGACUGUGUGAGUUGACUUCAGCUGUGCAGGAGGGAGAACUUUGUGUGUUCUUCAGGAACAACCAUUUUAGCACCAUGACCAAAUACAAGGGUCAGCUUUACCUGUUGGUGACAGACCAGGGCUUUCUUACAGAAGAGAAGGUUGUGUGGGAAAGUUUACACAAUGUGGAUGGUGACGGGAAUUUCUGUGACUCUGAAUUCCACCUGCGGCCUCCAUCAGACCCUGAAACUGUCUACAGAGGGCAGCAGGACCAAAUAGAUCAGGAUUAUCUGAUGGCACUAUCUCUACAACAAGAGCAGCAGAAUCAAGAGAUUAACUGGGAACAGAUCCCAGAAGGAAUCAGUGAUCUAGAGCUGGCAAAGAAGCUCCAGGAAGAGGAGGACAGGAGAGCUUCUCAGUACUAUCAGGAACAAGAACAAGCAGCUGCUCAGGUCCAGCAGGUACAAGGUGCUGCCUCUCCAGCCAGCGCGAGACAAUCCGGGAGUAACGAACGCAAACGCAAAGAGCCUCGAGAGAAGGAGAGGGAGAAAGAGAAGAACAGCUGUGUUCUUUUGUAACAGAACAUGGAUUCCAUCUGGAGUCAAGUGCAUGUCCUCAGAAGCAAAAACAAGGAGUAAAAAGGAAGACAAACCUGUUACAUGCCGCCUGUGCCUGAUUACCCCAUGGAUUUUGUUCAUGUUCCAAGAGAGGAUGGAUGACUUUGUAACAAUCAGACAGACUUCCUUCAAAGUCAUAGUGCGUGCUGCUCAAGAGGGAAUUCCAAAUCACAGUUGGAAGCGGCUGUGCUUUGAGUUAGUCAUAAGAAAUACUGCACCUUGUAGCUGAACACACAACUCAUGGCAAGUCCUGUGUCAUAGUGACAUCCAUUACUCAUUACAUCAGUUAGUAAGCUAUUUUAUCUUCUACUCUAAACAAAGGUCUUGAAGCUUUGGAAAAAAGGUAAAGAAUUCCUGAAAUCUAGGGCUGCAUGAGUUGAACUUGUUAGUGGCAAAAGUUUUAAGCAGUUGAGCUUCCUAAUACCCAAAAUGAAAUUCAUCUGGGAGCUUAAUUUAUGCCCUACUGGGAGUAACCAUUCCAAAAGCACCUGUCACAGAUGGUAUCUCUGAUAGUAUCUGAGGAUAAAAAACCUGAACAGAAUUGCUUUUAUCUAUAUGAAGUGAGCUUGGAAAACAAUAUUGCACAAUAUAGUCUUGGAGUACCAGGAAGACAAUAUCUACUUCUGUUUACUUCAUUUGCCUUUUUUUUCUUUUUUUUUUUCAUCCAGCUUAUGUUCUGGUAAAACAUAAGUAAUAUGGUAUAGAUUUAUACUUUAAAUCUAUUUAUACAAUUUAGCAUGCACAUGCUCCAUAAUAUAUAUGAAAGUGUCCAGAAAAGUAGAGUAGAACUUGUUUUCCACUAGAUAAAUGCUAGCACAGAAGAAAAAAAAUCACAGAAUUUUUGUUGUUGCAUUAUAGUUGUGACAUAAAAAAAGCUACAUAAAAGUAUUCUUAAGAUUAGCAAAAAACUCAGCACUGCCGUAGAGAUAAAUGUUUUUUCUAGAAGGCACUUUGUAAAUGCUCAAAUCCACCAGUUUUCUUGUGCCACUCAUGGAAUCUGCAACCCAACAAAGCAGAUCCAAAGGAGGGUUGUAACACCAGAGAAUGAAAUUAGCAUUCCUGAAAAUUCAUUUAAACACCAUCCAAAAAGUACAUUUUGUAGCUGUCCAUGUUGUUCAUGUAAGAAAUGAUGUGUUCAUUGUCUCUGCAGAGCUGCUCUUGUGGCUCACAGGCACAUGAGCUCCAAGGGAAGCACAGGCUCUGCUGGGAAACUCAGAUUGCCAGGCAGGCUCUUUCUCACUUGAUAUUUCACAUUAUUGUCAUGUUUCUUCAAACUUGUAUACACAAGCUCUUGAAAAAAUUUUCCAGUAUGUAAUAAAAGGCAGUUUUGGAGUUCUUGAAAUGGAAUUUUCUUGUGCAUUCAGCAGGAAAUACUCAAGUGAAAGGUACAGCUGAUACAUUUUUAACUGAACCAUCCUUUGUUCCUGCUCCACUGCUUCUGUAACAAAGUCAUUCCUUGGAUCAUCUCUUUGCAUUAGGAUGCUUAUUAGAGAAUCUAUACAAACUACAUCCUUCAAUACAACAUAGUAAAGUAAGAGCUCAUUUUAUAUAAAAGCAGAUUUUUAAAAGUUGCAGCAUUAAACAGGUGACUCAGGGAAUGCAUGUUAAAUGAUGUGAAAUCCUCAUUAGAAAGUGUAUUACAGAAAAGCAAAAACAACAAGCUGUAGUUUGGAUGCAUUAGAAUGCUCCCAUUUUUUCCUAUCUGUGCUAUGAUGAAGAACACCUUGUUAGCAAGAAAAAUCCAAUGUUAAAAAUGUUCAUUCAGUCUAGCAUAGUACAGCAAAUGUCAUGUGCAAGGCCUGAAAAUGGCAUUUCAUCUUGAAAUUGAUGAGUGCACAUCCUUUUUUAUUAAGCAUAACUAGCCAGAAACUUAGUGCUGAGUGGGAAAUGGGAAGAGGUGAGUGCCAGCUUCUCAAACCACAUCAUAUACACAGAGGCAGUGUGAUGUUCACAGUGCUCCUGCAGAGCUCACUCUCUCGUUCAUAGCUUGGCCAGCAGAAAAGAAUGGAUGUAAGCUCGGCUGUGAGCUGCUCUGAUGGGGAAGAAGUGCUACAGGGGAAUGCUAAGGAGGAAAGAGAGGCUGGAACAUAAGUCCCUAUGCUACCUCUUGAGAUUGUUUAAGGCUUUGUCCGUAAUUUUGCUGUUACUUUGGACACGAAUAGCUGUGGCACAGCGUGCAGUGGCCGCAUUUUCUCACCUAGGUAAUGCCCAGCAGGUUCAUUUCCUGGCAGGCUGGCAGUGUCUGGCCCUGGACACACUGCUCCUCACUCUCAUUGUGCUUUAAAGUCAGGACUAGCUGUGCUGAUCCUCUGAUAGCCCCAAAUAUUAAAUGUCAGUUGCCUACUGUUCAGUUUUGGUCCAUGUCAGCUCCUGUCACUCUGAACUCUCUUUGCUGGAGAGUUCUCUCUAGAGAACUUGCUGAAAUCUGCCUUCUCCAUUCCUUUUCUGGUUUGUAGGAUGACUUCUGUUCAUGGGAAAGUUCCAUGUGCUGAAAUGGGCAAUUCCUUGUUUUUCAAGGUUAAAACCUUUAAAUACUCAGUUAAUUAUCGUUAGAAAGUCAAGAUCCCAUGUUUGCCUAUACAGCAUAAAAAAUUGUGCAACAUAGUAAUGCUAUUUUUGGGAAAUCUUAGGGGAUUUUCAGCACUCAAAGUAGCUGAAAAGUUAGCUAGCUCAGUCUAAACAGUGCUUACAAAUAGUGUAACAGUGCUGAAAUCCAAGGCAGCUGCUGCUCUCAUCAGUGCAGACAGAGCUGAGGCACUGCCCAUGCCCUCCCAGCCAAGUUGUGCACUCAGGGCAGCAGGUGCUGGGG